rnacentral:rRNA from 1 species
UACGAAGGGGGCUAGCGUUGCUCGGAAUCACUGGGCGUAAAGCGCACGUAGGCGGCUUUCUAAGUCAGGGGUGAAAUCCUGGAGCUCAACUCCAGAACUGCCUUUGAUACUGGGAAGCUCGAGUCCGGGAGAGGUGAGUGGAACUCCGAGUGUAGAGGUGAAAUUCGUAGAUAUUCGGAAGAACACCAGUGGCGAAGGCGGCUCACUGGCCCGGUACUGACGCUGAGGUGCGAAAGCGUGGGAGCAAACAGG